rnacentral:rRNA from 1 species
GACGAACGCUGGCGGCGUGCUUAACACAUGCAAGUCGAACGGAAAGGCUCCAGCUUUCUGGAUUUCUCGAGUGGCGAACGGGUGAGUAACACGUGGGUAAUCUGCCCUGCACUCUGGGAUAAGCCUUGGAAACUGGGUCUCUUAUUGGAUAUGACCUUUCUCCUUAUGUGGUUUGGUGGAAAGUUUUUCGGUGUAGGAUGAGCCCGCGUCCUAUCAGCUUGUUGGUGGGGUGAUGGCCUACCAAGGCUACGACGGGUAGCCGUCCUGAGAGGGUGAUCGGGCACAUGGGGACUGAGAGACGGCGCAGACGCGUACGGGAGGCAGUGGUGGGGAAUAUGACACAAUGGGCGGAAGCCUGAGGAAGAGACGCCGCGUGAGGGAUGAUGGGCUUCGAGGUGUAAACAAAUGUCAGAAGGAACGAAGAGUAAGUGACGGUACCUGCAGAAGAAGCAACGGCUAACUACGUG